rnacentral:lncRNA from 1 species
CCUGCCUUCAGUCUGAUAUUUGCAUGUGUGUAAAUAUCCCCCUUCCGGCAGGCUGUCAGGAGCCCCUGUCUUCCCGGGAUGGACCAUGGAUCUUCUUGCUCCCUUCCACUCAUCCUGUAAGCCUCUGCAUGCUGCACUGCCCACAGAGUCCCUGUGAUAGGACUCUGGCACUGUCCUCUGCUGGUGCCCCAUUACUAUCAACUUGCUGGCUUUAAGCCACAGACAUUUGUUGUUCCAAUAUCCAAGCCUUCUGCAUCCAGCUGUCUGUAGAAUAAAGAUGGGUAGAUGAGAGCCAUAGCUGACCAGCAGCCAGAGAGAAAUCUACAUUUCUGUGAGCUACUAGCCUGGCCUGGUGAAUACAGCACAGUGGCCAGUAAAUCACCUUCAGGAAGCUGAAUGAAGCCAUCCAUUCUCCUGCAAGCCACACACUUCCCAGCCACUCCCACCGGCCUCCUUGGGUACUAUCUGGAAGUGGGAAUAGCAUAUAUCUCUCUUCCCCAGGUCCUAGGAAGUUACCUGGUUUUCUGGUUGUGUCCCCCAACAUUCAGGCCACAGACCAUCCAGCAUCAGAUCUACUUUUCUGCACAUUCCAAGCUUCGUUGUCACCCGACUCUACAUAUCAGCACUCAGACUACCCGGGAAUCUUCACAGACUCCGGAAUGGAGGACCUUGUUCUUGCUUCUUAAAUGCUUUCCCAAAAAUUUCCAUGAGGGCUGGAGAGACGACUUGGGGGUGAGGAGUGCUUGCUGCUCCUGCAGAGGACCCCCAGUGCCAGGAGAGCCGACACUCUCUCCUGGCCUCCAAAAGUACUGCCCUUCCUUACACAUGUCCACCACAGACAGACACACACACACACACACACACACACACACACACACA